UUCAUUACUCUUUUUUAAGUGGUGUUCGUAAUCAGAUGUAUACGUACAAUUGCGUUUGUAUACAUUCAAUUCUUUUAAUUAAAAAGAAACAAGCAUACGACGCCGCUAGGCGUCUAUGCUCGUAGUUUGAGAACGCCAUCAGUCAGGAGACGGACGAAAGCCACACCAGAUUAUUUCAUAGAGAAAGAGAGAAAAAAAAGUGAGAGAGAGAGCGAGAGAGAGAGAGCGAGAGCGAGAGAGAGGAAGAGCGAGAGAGCGAGAGAGCGACGGAAAAAGGAAAGACAGUCAACGCGAGAAGGACGAAGGUAAAGAUACUGAUAAGGGUAGGUUAUCCGAGCUUCAACGAGAUAUAUGCAUUAUAUUAAAGGCAAAAUCGAAAAGAUCUCACAAAAAAAAAACAGAAAAGGAAAUUAGUAUAAAAGGAGAAGUGGGGAAGAGCGAAAAAAGAGAUAUAGAAAAAGAAAAAAGAUAAGCCAAACGAGUCAGAGAAGAGGGUGUGCGUGAUAAAAAAUUUUUUCAAAUAAUUAAGUUUUUUCUUACAAAUGGCGCCGUCUUCCACUCGGCGUCAUGCGGAGGUUAAACGAAUUUUUCAAUUUAUUAUUUUAAUUUCUACAGUCUUUUUUUCUGAAGUAGUAUUAAUAACGUUAAUAUUUCAACUGCAACUUCUACUAUAAAUCAUCUAAACAGGCUGUCACAAUACGGCAGUCGUUGCGAGUGGUUGAAGGAUGAAAAAUUCUUAAAAGACCUGGAGGACGACAGCGUGGAUUCGGAACUUUUAGACGAAGAGUUACGUUCGUUACAAGAUGACGAGCCUAAAACAUGGCGAGGAAAGUUGGUAAAGUUACUCGAAAGCAAUCCGCUACAAAUUCUUCUCUGCGUAUUAGUUCUAAUUGACGCCGGAGUCGUGAUUGCCGAGAUCCUUCUCGACCUGCACGCCAUACGAGGACAGUACGAAGAAACGCAAUCUCAUCUCGACAACGUGCUCGGAUUCAUUCGAGUCGCUCACGCGGAAGAAUUGCGAGGCUAUGAAGGUUCGAACGUCGAUCACAUUCUCAGCCUACUUUCCAUGCCUGAUAAUUCGCCAAACGUCAGUUCGGCUUCUAUGCAAAUGAGGCGAUUGUGCGAAUACAGCCAGAAGUCGGAAUCCGUAACAACCAAUGGCGAGGAGUCGUCAUCGCCUUCUGCUACUUCCUCUUCGACGCCGCCACCAUAUUUAUCUGAGCAAGGAGUCGGUGGAGGAUUUUCGAAUGACAGUCAUUAUUUAUCAAACGAACCAGUCAGCCAUACGUAUUCGAAAUCGAAAUUUCUACUCAAGAUUGCUCACAGCCUGCAUUUCUGCAGUAUUACUAUACUUGGCAUUUUUGUUAUCCAGGUCUUGCUCAAAGUGAUUGGAAUGGGUCUAGAAUUUUUCAAGCACAAAAUGGAGAUAUUUGAUGCUGUGAUAAUAGUAGCGUCGUUUGCUUUAGAUUUAGUAUUUCUGAAAGGAAUCGGAGAGGUUCAAGGCGAAGAGGCGGCAGCCUUACUUAUAGUCUUCCUUCUCUGGCGGAUCUUGAGAGUAAUUAACGGAAUUAUGGUUACUGCAAAACAACGACAGGAAUUUCGUAUCAAGCUACAGAAGAGGGCAAGACGGCGCGCUGAGAAGAAAAUCGAGUUAUUGGAAGAUGAGAAACACUUGAAAGACAAAGAAAUACACGCUUUGAAAUUCCUUUGCCAACAAUCCGGAGCAAGCGAGGAAGAUAUAGCGGCAUGUCGGCCUAGACGACAACCUCAACGAUUAGAUACGUCUACUGGAUUGACAUCCGUUGCUUCCCUAUCGCUUUCUCUAUCCAUGAGUAUGUCGGCUGGACUACUGAACAAUAUAGCACGAAGUCACCCAAUGCUCAAUAGGCGGGAAUCACUUAUGGACGCCUCUUCCUCGUCAUCAUCAAGCAGUACUGGUCGUAUGAGGCGCUCUGAUGCUAAUAAUUCUAGAUCUCCUCGUUUACGGUCUUCUAGCUCACCUCGUCUGGCUCGUUCUUUGACACCUGAUCCGCCUUCUCGAAAGCCUUUCACCGACUUCUCCGCUUUAAAUCCUCUACUACAAUUAAGACAAGAACGAGCAGCUGAUGGCCUAGCACCAACGCCAUCGCUCAACGUUACGAAUGCGGGAAAUUCCGAAAAGCAAUUGACUGAUAUUCACGUCAUAGAGGAGGUAUCGGAAGUAUCUGAAGAGACGGACACGGAGAGUGUUUGUUCACCAGUUAUUGCUCCACUAGUCAAGCUUUGCCCUCCUCCACCUCCGCCCCCUCCGGAACCGCUUCCUCCUCAUCUCGCUUAUCCUUUGAACGAGUCUGCAGACGCCGCUGCACGGGCGCUGGCCGCACGCGAUAGCGACACUUCUAAUCCUCCAGAUUCCGAUAAACAAUCAAACCAUCAGCAGGUAUACGACCUUCAGCAUUUUAAAUCCUAUAACGAUUACAUCUAUUGAGCCAACACACAGAUCAUACAGACAACGAAGCUUUGAACCAUUCCUAUAAAUAAUAACAAAAACAAAUUCUAAUCGCAAUCAAGUUAACUCUAAUAAUUUUAACUAACUGAUCGUUGCGUAUUCAAAUUAGCAAUAUACCUUUUUCUAUCUAGAUAAAGUCUGUAUAACGUUUGCUUUAUAUAUUCUUUAUACAUAUACCUGUAGAUAAACAUUUAUAUGUAUGUAUAUAUGUAUACAUAUAAACAUACACAUAUUCAUAUAUAUAUAUAUAUAUAUAUAUGUAUGUAUGUAUAUUUAUAUCUAUAUUCUCUAUACCUGCAUAUAUAUUUACCUUCGUAUAUAUCCAAUUAACCUAUCGAUAGAGUGUUACAUGUAACUGCAGUGACAGGGUAAAAACAGGGUAAAGCGUAAAGGAUUUUUUUUACAAAAUAUUUUAUGCAAACUAUCCCUGAAAGCCCAGUCCUUCAUGAAAUUAUCUAGUGCUUUUGUAAAUAUUCUUAUUUAUAUAUAUAACUCUGAAAUUAUAAAUGUACAUAGAUUACGCAUUUAUUGAUAUAUAUAUAUAUAUAUUAUAUAUAUAUAUAUAUAUAUAAAUACUCUAUAUAUAUUUGGAAAAUUAUAUAUGCACAUAUACACACUUUCUUAUGAAAUAUUGCUUAUUUUACUAAUUAUUAGAGUUUUUAAGUUAAAUGUAGAUCGGGUAUUGGAUUGUUUUACGUAAAUUUAAUUGUAUAAAAAAAAAAGAAGAGAGAGUGAGAGAGAAACGGCCCAAACAGCUUUUUCCCGUAUUAUUCGAUUAAAUUCGGUAAUAAUGUAUUUAUAGGUAGAAAGGAGGGUCUGUGUUUUUUUUUGGUGUAUAUAGCAUAUUUAAUCAAUCUGAAACGGGGGCCAAGUACACAAUUAUUUAGAUUAUAAUGUGAUUUAGAGUUGAUAAAUAAAAUCAUUGCAGUUGAUUUACAGCAAUGGAAAAAUUGAUUAUCUAUUGGGUAGCUCCUAAGCCUGUGACCACUUUUAAACCUGUAAUAGUAGUUAUUUUCCUAAAUGCCCCUUAACGAAGACAAAGGAAAUAAGAACAAAUUUUUUCUGCACCUAAGAAUAAAAAAGAUAUAUCGAUAGGCAGCAAAAUGACUGCACUUCUCCAAAGGUCUAGGGAUAAUACUUUCUCUCAUUUCGAACGCAAAAUAUUACAUUAUUAUUAAAAUAAUAUUAAAUAAAUGAAAGCCGCCAUAUAAAGGAUUCUUUUCAAUUCUUAAAUUGAGGAAGGCUGUUCGUAGUCGAAUUCAAUAAAAGAGCACAACGAUGAAUGAGUUUAGAGUUUCAGGUGUUGUUUGUUCUCUAGUACAUAUUCAAUUUAGAAGUAGACUCUUCAUCAUAAAUUUUUGUUAGAAUGUUACUGGAAGUUGGUCUUGUCAAAAAAAUUAAGAAGAAAAUUGUAAUAUGAUUCAAGUUAAACCUCUAGAGUAUAUUCCAAUGAUAGCUUGGAGUAUCUCCGAAAGCUACUAUAGUUCAGUAAAAAAUAAUAGGUUUUUUUU
rnacentral:misc_RNA from 1 species